ACCGUAUCUUUAUGGAUCGCCUUGAAUAUAUCACGUGGGCCACAUCCAACAUUCUCCCACUUGGCCUAGUGAUAUAUUUAUUACCGUAUAGGCGAUACAAAAACUUUAUUAGGUACCAACUAAAUUAUACAGUCAAAAUCUCCCACUCGACCAAGAAAUCACAAUACUUUGAUCAUAGCGGUUAUGCCCCAAANGCUCUCGGGUUGCCAUUUGUACCGGUACAGUUGCUCGUGUACCGGUACACCAGGGUAGGUGAGAGGGCUUUUUGGUCUUUUCUCACCUCGUUUGUGUCACCCUCUUCCCCAGCCUAUAUGUUUGCGUAGAGAGGAGCUGAGGGAGAGUUUUUCUGCUGGUUUCCUUCCCUCUCUCUCUCUAGCUUGGACCGAGUGUGGAGGAGCUCUCAGGUGGAGUUGUUUCGUCGCCGACGUCGCACCACAGAGCCGUUCGAGCACACGAGUGUUGUGGUGGCUGCGUUUGGAGGCCGAGCGAGCGUGUGAUUCCACCGUUUCGACGUCGCGCCGGUGUUGGAUUAGCGUUUGAGGUGGGUUUAUCAUCGGAUUUCUACUCCUAAAGUCUCGGUUAACGGCAUACAUAUUUUGUGUUAUGCAUUUCAUGUGUAAUAGCUCGAAUUCGUGGAUUGUUCAUGUCUUUGACAUCUAAACUGAAUUUGGAGCAUAGUAUUAUUGGUGGAUAAAUUAUACAUAUGGACUUGGAUUUGACUGAGAAGAAAAUCCGCGAAUAUAACCCGUCAUAUGCUUACACUACCAGAUUUAGCUUUAGGAGCCAUUGUUAUUUGGUAUCGCCGCAGUAUCAGCAUGGUGGAUACCCCAGGUAGUGUAGAUUGUUGUUACGCUCGAGCUGGGAUGCCGAGCCUAUUUUUACAGUAGUGUUCAGACUGUUCCGGACUGUUGGGGGCCGUCGGGGUUGACGGUGGACUCAGAUUGCCGUUUUGGAAUCAGAUUGUGCCGAGGGCACGUGACUCGUUGGUUGUUAGACCAGUUGGACCCGGUAUACUUGACUAUAGCCUGCGAGAGCCUGAUUGAGCUCGACAGAGAUACACUUGCAUACUCGGUUGGGUAGCGCCCACGAGUGCCACUCCAGAGUUGGGCUUAGUGCUUCUGCGUUGAUGUCGAGGUGUCCUAUUUGGACUUGCUAUCCACUGACUGCUUAGUGUGGAGGUAGCUUUAGCUUCGACAGGCGGGACGGGUGUGUUCACAGUCCUUGGGACGAGUACGGUUACAGUCCCGAGUGAGAUUGCGUCAGGAUUGACAUUUUCUACAGAUUGUUAGUAUUAGAGCAUGAUAGUAUAAUGGUUCUUAACUGUAGAUUUUGUUCCAGCAUUAUGUACUAUCCCAGCUCCCUUCUGUAGACUUAGUUGAUGAACCGAUGAUAUUGAGGGCGGCACCCACUGAGGACUACUCGUUUUUACAGUAGUUCUCACGCCCAGUUGUUCCUUUUCGUUUUGCAGAGCCGUCGUCGUCGGCUGCUGCUGAUCCUGAUCGUGGCAAGGGCGUCGCGAGUUAGAGCCCUACCAGAUGAGCCAGAGCUAGUGGAGUACCGGCUACAGGUAAUUGUAGUUUUUGGUUUAUUACAUACUGAUGUUAUACCUCGCUGGAGUGAGUGUUUUUGUACUAGGAUACUGGGUAUGUACUGAUCCAUUUUUAUUAUAUACUCAUGUUCUUUUUCCUAGCAGCUCUAUACUACUAGUUGUAGUGUUGUAUUAUUACAGGUACAGUUACAGCUUCAUUUCGUAUACAGAAAAAACUUCUUUGUAUACGGCGGGUCUGUUGGCAUGCCCAGGGAAUCGAGUAAUCCGGGGCGUGACACUAAGGGAUCACUCAUCCAAGAAUUACUUGUGACGCCCCAACUUUCUAAGGUGUCAUCCAUUCUAGGACUAUCCUAGCCUUAACACGCUUAACUCUUUUAUCAUUUUGGGUUUAGCCACUAUCCAAAAUGUUAUAGCUGAUUUAAGAGUUUUUAGCCCUAUUAAAUAUUAUAUAUAGGGUCUCACACUACUCUAGUCCUACCGUACUUAACUCGUUUAACCUUUUUAUUAUAGUCGGGUUAAGAGACUUAGCCCUAUUAUAUCUUAUAUAUAGGACUACUGUAGCACACUGGACCUUUGUAAAUUGCGAGGUUCGAGUGUUUGGAUGUAUUUCGAGCUUUUCCACACUUGGUGGAGAGUUAUAGAAUGCUUUUCGACCUAAGAAGUUCGAAAACCUGAGUUUUGGUUUGGUCCUGAGAGUUUUUACUCUCGGGGACCGGUCCCUGGAAGGAGAGACCGGUCCCCCAGUGAGCAGUGCUGCGGCAGCCCUGAGGCAACCGGUCCCUGGCGGGCGAGACCGGUCCCCGAGCGCGUCUACGCAGUGAGAGACCGGUCCCACACAGGGAGAGACCGGNGUACCUUCUGCCAUGAUUUCGAUUUCUGUACCCGAUUUGUAAGCGGUGAUCCUUUCUCGUGGUUCGUCCUCGUUUGUGAUCUGCAGGAAGACGGGACGUUUCGAGUCUAAUUCCCUUAUCCCCGGAGAUGGAGCCGUCACAGACAAUUGGAUUAGGGUUAGACCGGGAUUCCCGUAUGUUACAUAUUUAUAUAUAACUUAAUGUGAGGAUGUUAAAUCACGUCCGUCCAUCAAGGACGUGUCCAGAUACAUCCUAUCCGUAAGAUCUAAAAUAUCUUUAUAGAUCGACUUGAAUAGAUUGACCGUAUCUUUAUGGAUCGCCUUGAAUAUAUCACGUGGGCCACAUCCAACAUUCUCCCACUUGGCCUAGUGAUAUAUUUAUUACCGUAUAGGCGAUACAAAAACUUUAUUAGGUACCAACUAAAUUAUACAGUCAAAAUCUCCCACUCGACCAAGAAAUCACAAUACUUUGAUCAUAGCGGUUAUGCCCCAAAAGAUGAACACUUCCUUCCAUGUAUCAAAAGUACAAAUUUCUUAAUCAAAUAACUUUAUGAGUUACAACCGUAUGAACUUAUUAUAAGUUCAACUCAGAGUCCCACUUUAGUGCACAAUAAAACUUUAAUGUACAAAAAUAACUUUAUGCGCAUAUGUGCAAAAACCAAAAUGUGUUCUUAUUCAAAUAAAAAUAGUCUUUAAAGUCUUUAUACAAGAAGAAAACACUUAAACUGUAAAUGGAUUCAAGAUACCCAUAUG
rnacentral:lncRNA from 1 species